rfam:Schistosoma rodhaini strain Burundi genome assembly, scaffold: SROB_scaffold0006204
ACACUGCUAAAGAGUCUCAUUAUAGGACGAAACGGCCGUCCAGUGU